UUGUUGUUGUUGCUAUUUCUUGGGCCGCUCCCGCGGCAUAUGGAGGUUCCCAGGCCAGGGGUUGAAUCGGAGCUGUAGCCGCCAGCCUAUGCCAGAGCCUCAGCAACGCAGGAUCCGAGCCGCGUCUGCAGCCUACACCGCCGCUCACAGCAUCACCAGAUCGUUAACCCACUGAGCAAGGGCAGGGACCGAACCCGCAACCUCAUGGUUCCUAGUCGGAUUCGUUAACCACUGCGCCACGACGGGAACUCCUGCAUUCUCUUCUCCACACACCAGUUUCCAGGAUGAUGCUCUGCCUCGUAAUGUCCCCGGGCCAUGAGCCGGUCAGUGUCACCAGGAUGGCAAAGACGUUUGUACAUGUGAUGUGUCUUCACUCCGCCAGCAGUCAUUUCUUCGUGUGGCUGGAAUGGCCUUGCCUUUGGCCACUAGGAGCCCCUCAGGCUGCCUCCUGAGCCGUCCUCACACAAACCUCACUUCCAAAACCAAGGGGGUGCCUCGAGUGCUGUUCCUGCCCAGACCGUGCAUCUCAAAGGAGUCCCGCGCCUCGGAUGGGAGUGCUGUUUAGAACCCCUGUCCACGAGCUCCUGAUGUGCUGCAACGAGAUCGGCAGCAGCUGAGGAGUGCUAGGAUGCGGGUUUGAUCCCUGGCCUGGCAGAGAGGAUCUGGCGCUCCUGCAGCUUCCUUCGAGGCCGCGGCUCAGGUCUGAUCCCUGGCCCACGAGCUCCACAUGCCGAGGGGCGGCCAAAAAAAAAAAAAACCCCAAAAACCUCACUGUCCAAGCACUAGGGGUGCAAACUGCUACAGGGAUGCCAUGCAAAUAACUUUAAUCAAUGUUAUUUAAAAAUGCAAAAAUUAAGCUGAUAGCAACUUCUACUUUUAUUUAUUUAUUUUUUUUGUCAUUGUCCUUUUUAGAGCCGCAGCCGCAGCAUAUGGAGGUUCCCAGGCUAGGGGUCUAAUCGGAGCUGUAGCUGCCGGCCUACACCACAGCCACAGCAACGUGGGAUCCGAGCCAUGUCUGCGACCUACACCACAGCUCCUGGUAACACCAGAUCCUAAACCCACUGAGCGAGGUCAGGGAUCGAACCUGCAAUCUCAUGGUUCCUAGUUGGAUUCGUUUCCACUGUGCCACGACAGGAACUCCGACUUCUACUUUUAAUAUAAACAUGAAUGUUGUUAAAUUCAGGUAGGAAAAUAAUCCUGCUCAAUAUGGAAGUGAUAUUCAAGGAAAAAAGUAGACACUCACCUGUUAUAAUACAUGUGCUUCUGAAAAUUUUUACUCAGAAAUUCCUUGUAAAACUCAGCCAUUUCUUCUGCAUUCAAUGUUGCUUUUGCACCUGAAAAUUAAUUUCAACUUAAGCAAUAAGAAUUAAAGGGAAGGAUUUUACAAAAAUUAAAGCUAAUAAAUGUGUUCGCAGUUGCAGGAUAGAAUCGACAUCAACUGUGUCUACACACUUACGCUAGACAAUCCGAAAAGGAAAUUGAGACAACAAUUCCAUUUACAACAGUAUCGAAAAGGAUGAAAAACUUAGAAAUAAAUUUAAGGGGGGCAUAUAAGACUAAUACACUGAAAACUGUAAGAUGUGGUUGAAAGAAGUGACGGACCCAAGUAAACAGAAAGACAUCUCAUAUUCACGGCUCCAGAGUCCUAGUACUGUUAAGAGGGCAACACUCCCCAGUUUAUUUAUUUAUUUAUUUUGCUUUUUAGGGCCGCACCCGAGGCAUAUGGAGGCUCCCCAGCUAGGAGUUGAAUCGGAGCUGUAGCUACUGACCUACACCACAGCUCAUGGCAACGCCGGAUCCUUAACCCACUGAGUGAGGCCAGGGAUCGAACCUGCAACCUCAAGGAUGAGAUUUGUUAACUUCUGAGCCACAACAGGAACUCUAACACUCCCCAUUUUAAAAUGACACACAGAUUCAACACAAACCCUAUCGAAACCCCAGGUGGCUUUCUUUUCCCCCGAGAAACUGACAAGAGGAUCUUAAAAUUCAGAUGAAGACGCAAGGAAAGAGGGUAGCCAAACAAUCUUGAAAAGGAUCACAGUUGGAGGACUCCAAUCUCUCAUGUUCAAAACUCACUACAAAGCUGCUGUAAUCAGUUUGGUGUGGUGUCAGCAGAAGGACAGGCAUAGAGAUCAACAGAACGGAACUUAAGCGUCCAGAAAUAAACCCAGACACUUAUGGGCAAGGAGAUCCCAUUGUGGCUCAGCAGUAACGAUAAUGAACCCAACUAGUAACCUGAUGUCGAAGGUUCGAUCCCUGGCCUCGCUCAGUGGGUUAAGGAUCCAGCAUCGCCAUGAGCUAUGGUGUAGGUCACAGACGCGGCUCGGAUCCUGCAUUGCUGUGGCUGUGGUGUAGACCAGCAGCUGCAUUCUGAUUAGACUCCUAGCCUGGGAACCUCCAUAUGCUGUGGGGGCAGCCCUAAAAAGAAAAAAAAAAGGUGGUCUGCCCAUAUAAUGGAAUCGUAUUCGGCCAUGGACAAGAAUCUUCAUGGUACUAUUCAUGCUGCAAGAGGGAUGAAGCUCGAAAACACACACGCGUAUUUAUCACAAUGUUGUAAAUCAACAACACUUCAAUACAACUUAAAAAGAAAAAAAAGGCACGCACGUAAGAUUACAAAUCACAGGCAGACUUUGGAGUUAUUAAGGGUUCGAUUCUGACCACUACAAUGAAGCAAAUAUCACAGUAAAGUGAGUCACCUGAGUGGCUGAUUCCCAAUGUAGGUAAGAUGUAUUACACGAUAGGCUGAGUGUGCAACAGCAUCAUGUCAAAAAACCCACAUUUACCUUAAUUACACAAUCACGCUACUGGAAAAAUAGGGCCAACAGACCUCCUCUAUACGGGGUUACCACAAACAUUUGUUUUUUUAAAAGAAUCUUCCAAACACAACAGAAUAAAGCUCCAGAGAAUGAGGCGUGCCUGUGUACGAUGCCGUUGACCUGGAAAUGCCCAGAAGAGGCAAAUCCAUAAAGACAGAGAGUAGACCAGUGGCUGGGGGGCGAUGAAACCGUUCUGGACCAGGUGGUGGUGACGGCAGCACAAUCUCGUGGACACUAAAACCACUGAAGACUUGUACACUUUAAAAGUCUGAAUUUUAUGGGAAGUGAAUGACAUCUCAGUAAAGAAAAGACAAGGGAGGAAGCAUCUCCCCGUCCCUAGCCCCUAAUGGUUACGCUGUCGCUGAUAUGCACUCGGGGCACCUAUCACCCUGGGCUGGGUUUCCCCACUCGAGGGCCAAGGCUCUCUGAGUGUCCAAGGAGGGACUGUGAGCUACCAGCGCAAGGGAAACAGAGUGUCUCCUAAGCCGAAUGCACCCUGCGCUGGCCAGCAGCCCAGGCACCCCGGCUCCAAGGCGGGGAGCACAUGCCAAGCCGGUAACACACCCGGUGCCUGUCACCUCCACGGUAGGAGACGUCAACGUGGCCUGCUCUCAGGGCUCCCCUGCCCCCAGACUCUCACAGGACAGGAACCACGGCCUGCCAGGCAGUACGGCUUCUGUGCCGUGCAGGAUGGCACAGCGGGGUAGGGCCAGUCUCAGGACACCUGCAGUGGCUGGGGGUCAAAGGACUGAGACCACAUGGGAAGGGGCGCCCUGGCUUAGAAGCCCUAACCCCCAAACAGGCAUCGCACCCAGGGUUCCUGCACUUCUGGGGCACCCCCAGGCAGAGGCCCCCCGCUCCAGUCCCCCGGGGUUUAGUCCCUUCGCCCCUGACAGAAGCUGUCUCCAGGCCGAGGCCAUGUUCCUGGCUGUAGAGCUGAUGCUGAUGCUGACGCUUCAACCCGAUCAGGAUUUGGGGGAGACGGAGACGGAGGUGGAAAGAGAAUCCCAGGACACAACUUGAGGGCCAGCCCUGCACUCACACAACAGAGGCGAACACUCAGAGCACAAGCAGGGCUGCCCUGGCAGAGACACAAGGCAAGGACCGCAUGCCUGCCGGGCCGCCCCCUGCCUCCAUGAUCAGCAGUUCACUCCCUGUGUCCAGGCUCCGCUGCCCCGGCCUCCGGCUGCUCUUCAAAAUCUCCGUUUAGAAGAUUCCUUCCCACCCUCGGAAAGGCCGUCUCUGACCCCGCUCCUCCCCGCAGCCCUGCUUCUGUCUGUCCGCAGGCAACGCGCCCGAGCGCAGAGUGCGUUUACUGAGCUGGCCGCUCCCGCCCAUGGGAGGCGGUCCCAGCUCCGCCAAGGCCAAGGCCACGCUGUCUCGCCCUCCGCUCCUCUCGGCGGCCAGCUGGCGAGGUGACAGGUGUCUGAUAAAUACCUGGAAUUAACCAACGGACGGCUGCUAAAUGGAGCAGCAGGGGGAACAACCAGCUGCCUGAGGACGGGAGGGAAGCCAAAGGCUCCCAGAGAAGGUGACCGCCAAGCUGGGUUUUGAAGGAUGAAGAGGAUCCCAGAGGGCAGACGAAAUGAAGGGUCUGGAGAGGCAGAGAGAUGCCGGAGCACAGAGAGCGGGGCGGGGCAGGCGGGGUGCGGAAGGGCUCCGGCUUUGGGCAGCAGAGCGAGCGCUGGGCCGGCGCGCCAGCCCCCGAGCAAGGAGCUGGUCCGCCAGGCCUCCAGGCAGGUGUGCCGCUCCCCGGCCUCUCCCGCCACGGAGCAGUUAUGGAGGCGCACAUGUCCUCCUGGUACGAGGACAGGUUCUGUCCCUCACUGGCCCUGCGGCCGUGGCUCUGCUCACCUCCAGGACGUGGAUCAGCAGAGCACGUCUCAUAAAGCUGCUGUGAGUCAAACUGAGUUGCAGUCCAUGUGGCGGCGGGUGGGACAGGGCUGGGCGCAGAGGGCGCUCAGGUUCCCACCGCUGGCAGAACAGCAGGAGCCCCAGGCCCUGAAGGACAGGCUGGGGCGCCACCUUCGGCUACUGGCGGAGAUUGGGGUCGCGCCCAAACAUUCCCAGGUGACGACGCUCAACGUAAAGCAGAAGCACCAGACACGGUUGCUGAGAACUUCAGAUGCCACACCCACAACGCUGCAACGUGACACCGACCUUCAGUAAAACUAAAUAAUGAAAGACAAGUGGAGAACAAUCUAAUUCAUCACACACUUACGGAAAGCUGGGCAGGCGUUUCAUAAAUACCAGCUGACUUAAAAGAAACCCAGCCUGAUGCCAUCCCCGCCCCCAUACAAAUGCUUCAGCAAUGAAAGAAAUUAGAGGCAAGAAUUCUCCCACAGGGAGUUCCUAUUGUGGCGCAGCAGAAACAAAUCUGAUUAGCAUCCAUGAGGACGCAGGUUUGAGCCCUGGCAGCGCUCAGUGGGUUAAGGAUUGGUGUUGCCGUGAGCUGUGGGCACAGGUCGCAGAUGCAGAUCUGGUGUUGCUGUGGCUGUGGUGUAGGCGGCAGCUGCAGCUCUGAUGGGACCCCUAGCCCGAGAAUUUGCAUAUGCCACGGGUGCGGCCCUAAAAAGACACACACACACAAAAGAAUUCUCCCACAGCACGGCUUGCCCUACCAAGGAGACUGAAUCUGGGACAGGCAGAGCUGAAGUCACGGUAUCCGGCUCUCUGCACUGGAACUGAAUCCACGGUUUUCCUGUACGGCUGCAGAGGGUCCCAGUGAACACCCAGGGUGCGUGGGCCGCCGGCCUCACCCAGUCUUCAUCGCCGGAUGUUUAGAUGCUUCCCCCUCUUGCGAUGAAGACAGUGCUGCCACGGACCCAAAGUCAGGUCUGCCCAUGCUUUCCUCUAGGCAGACUUCUCAGAUAGUCCGUAGUCGUAAUGUCUCUACUUCUGGGCAGGUGAGCUUCAUGCAGCUAAACCCUCCGGAAAGGGAGCGAGGAAGACACCUUCCUGAGCUCAGAAAGCAUCAAAUGAUACCUGGUUGCUGGGGGUUUCUUUUUCGCUCGCCCUUUGGUAUAUGGAAGUGCUGGGUUAGGGACGGAAUUCAAGCCACAGCUGCAGCAACGCCAGAUCCUCAGUACACUGAGCGAGGCCAGGGGUUGAACCUGCACCACCAGAGAGAUACCACCAGACCCCCAACCCACGGCGCCACAGUGGGAACUGCUCUGGUCGCUGUUUUAACACGGACUGUAAAAUUUAGAGUGUGAGCAACUGUAGGUGUCUUGUUACUUCUACAGACCUGUCAAGGCUUUUCAUUGCGUCCACACUGCCUUCUCAGCUCUGCCGCAAACGCCCCCAACCUGCCGUUCGUGUUUAGGGUGCUUCCCGGCCUUCUUGUCUGCCCAGCCCUAUUUGCUGGGCACAGUUUGCGGAGCCUUCAACACAACCCCCACGCCCAGGCCUCUGCCCAACCUGGGCACCGCUGCGCUGGCUGGAGCCGCCUGGGAAGAGUCUCAGGCUGGCGCCUUCCGCAACGCGGGAGGUGUAAACGGAGGUGGAGAAAGCCCGCUUAGAGCAGAGGGUUCGUGACAAGGGCGUGUCUGGGUGCCCUUUGGGGCCAGGGUCAGCGUGCAGGGCAGGCCUGGGCCCAGUUCUACGCUGGCCCUGGGUCUGAGCCGCCUCGUGUCCCUUCAGCAAACUCUCCUUUCCAGAAGCACAGACUAGCGGGUCCUGACCAGUUGAGGGUCAGUUUUCAUGUUCUUGAAUCCUUCCACCUUCACUGUCAAGCUGAGGACUCGCCACUCCUCCAGAUAUCGGAGGGUCACUCUUAUUCCGUUAGGCUUGCUACGACUAGGAGCGAUGUAUUGAACGUAUUA
rnacentral:lncRNA from 1 species